GACGAACGCUGGCGGCGUGCUUAACACAUGCAAGUCGAGCGAUGAAAGCCUUAUGAACUAUUCGUAGUGAUUGGGGCCGGAUUAGCGGCGGACGGGUGAGUAACGCGUGAGCAACCUGCCUUAAACAACGGGAUAGCCUCGGGCAACCGGGAUUAAUACCGUAUGAGACCCCGCCUUCACAUGAAGAAGAGGUUAAAGAUUAUCGGUUUAAGAUGGGGUCGCGUCUGAUUAGCUAGUUGGUGAGAUAAAAGCCCACCAAGGCAACGAUCAGUAACCGGCUUGAGAGAGUGAACGGUCACAUUGGAACUGAGACACGGUCCAAACUCCUACGGGAGGCAGCAGUGGGGAAUAUUGCACAAUGGGGGAAACCCUGAUGCAGCGACGCCGCGUGAGCGAUGAAGGAAUUCGUUUCGUAAAGCUCUGUCCAAGGGGAAGAUAAUGACAGUACCCUUGGAGGAAGCCCCGGCUAAAUACGUGCCAGCAGCCGCGGUAA
rnacentral:rRNA from 1 species